rnacentral:rRNA from 1 species
UGAGUUUGAUUCUGGCUCAGAUUGAACGCUGGCGGCACGCUUAACACAUGCAAGUCGAACGGCAGCGGAAUUGUUUUUUCGGAAACGAUUGCCGGCGAGUGGCGAACGGGUGAGUAACGCGUUGGGACCUGCCCUUAAGUGGGGGAUAACCCGGGGAAACUCGGGCUAAUACCGCAUAUACUUGAGAAAGGAAAGCUGCCUUUGGGUGGCGCUUAAGGAGGGCCCUGCGUCCGAUUAGCUAGUUGGUGGGGUAACGGCCUACCAAGGCUACGAUCGGUAACUGUUUUGAGAGGAAGGACAGUCACACUGGGACUGAGACACGGCCCUGACUCCUACGGGAGGCAGCAGUGGGGAAUAUUGGACAAUGGGGGGAACCCUGAUCCAGCGAUGCCGCGUGUGUGAAGAAGGCCUGCGGGUUGUAAAGCACUUUCACAGGCGAGGAGGGUACUGAUACUGAAUAGGUAUUGGUAUUGACGUUAACCUGAGAAGCAGCACCGGCUAACUCUGUGCCAGCAGCCGCGGUAAUACAGAGGGUGCAAGCGUUAAUCGGAAUUACUGGGCGUAAAGGGUGUGUAGGUGGUUGAAUC